UACGAAGGGGGCUAGCGUUGUUCAGAUUUACUGGGCGUAAAGCGCACGUAGGCGGAUAUUUAAGUCAGGGGUGAAAUCCCGGGGCUCAACCCCGGAACUGCCUCUGAUACUGGAUAUCUCGAGUCCGGAAGAGGUGAGUGGAAUUCCGAGUGUAGAGGUGAAAUUCGUAGAUAUUCGGAGGAACACCAGUGGCGAAGGCGGCUCACUGGCCCGGUACUGACGCUGAGGUGCGAAAGCGUGGGGAGCAAACAGG
rnacentral:rRNA from 1 species